AUGGAGUUAAGACUGAGCUGCGUUUUCCUUGUUGCUCUUUUCAAAGGUGUCCAGUGUGAGGUGAAGCUAGUAGAGUCUGGAGGAGGCUUGGUGCAGCCUGGGAAGUCUCUGAAACUGUCCUGUGCAGCCUCUGGAUUCAUCUUCAGUGAUUACUUCAUGAAUUGCAUGCACCAGGCUCCAGGAAAAGGGUUGGAGUGGGUGGCAAUGAUAGAACACAAACCUAAAAAUUAUUUAACAAGUUAUGGGGAGUCUGUGAAAGGCAGAUUCACCAUCUCAAGAGACGACUCCAAAAGCAGUGUCUACCUGCAAAUGAACAACUUAAGAGUCGAAGACACUGCCAUUUACUAUUGUACUAGACACAUUAAGAGAACUUCAGUGUGA